CCAGAGGAGCCGGAACUCGGGGUCCCGCUCCUCAGUGCACCCCCAGAGAAAAGCGGUGGAUGUUUGAAGAGGCCAUGCAUGAGUUGCUAGAUCUGCUCAUCCCCGCUGUGGUGAUUGUGAACCUAUGUGUUGAGAUGGAAACUCCAGCAGCCAGAACCCUGAGAGAUGGCAGUGAGCUGAGCCCCAGGUGACCUGUUCUGGACAGGCAGUGUGGAUGGAAACAAACCCUUAUUGUGGGAGUGCUCACCAGUACCUCCCGUGGGUCACAGCUGCUGCCUUAAAGAAGGAUAGCCAGUGUGGAGGAAGGCUGCCCACAGCAAAGACAGAGACUCUCCGAGCUCUGACCUCUUACCAGAGCUGCCUGUAUUCCUCCUCACUCCCUACUGAGCGGGGCCUUGCUGGCUGCGUUUAACCCAGGUGGGAACGGAGCUGGGGAGACACUGAUGGUAUCAAUCAGUGAAC